rnacentral:misc_RNA from 1 species
AACGCACCUUGCGCUCCUUGGUAUUCCGAGGAGCAUGCCUGUUUGAGUGUCAUGAAAUUCUCAACCUAUUUAGUUUUCUUAACUACUUAGGCUUGGAUCAUGGAAGUUGCUGGCUCAAUCCGAAUCAGCUCUUCUUAAAUGUAUUAGCAAAGACUUUUGCUGACCAUCAUUGGUAUGAUAAUUAUCUAUAUCAUUGGUAACCAGUUCCCUUUCAUAGGGAGGUCUUGCUUCUAAUAGUCGUUUCGACAACUUGACAACUUUGACCUCAAAUCAGGUAGGACUACCCGCUGAACUUAA